GUGCUGCUAAUGAGCAGACACUUAGUCAGGAUAAAGAUCAGCAGCAAGUGUACUCCUCUCUUCUUCAUGGUGAUCGUUGUGUCUAUGAGACAGUCAGAAGAUGUGAAAACACUGAAAAUGGUCCAGCAGAAGGUGAUUACACCAAUGUCACAUCUGUGAUUCAGCUCAAAGUUAUUAACAAGACAAGGCAACGUGGUGACCCAGAGGAGAGCUCUGACUACAAUAAUGUCAAUCCAAAUUCAGCCACAGCUCUAAAAUCUUA